GUAGGUGAACCUGCGGAGGGAUCAUUAACACGUGUAAAAAACGUAUUUUCUAUACCUCAACAACCAAUACCGUGAACUAUGUUUGGUAUAUAUAUAUAGUAAAUUUAUUUUUACUAUAUAUUAUAUACCCUUUUUUACAAAACCCUUUUCCAACUUUAUUUUUUUCUAUCAAUCUUUUAUUGUUUUUUUUGUUUUAUAUUGUCAUGAUAUAAACUGAAAAAAGAAUAAAAAAGCAUGUAAAAAAAAUACAAAAAGCACAACUCUUAGCAACGGAUAUCUUGGUUCUC
rnacentral:misc_RNA from 1 species